rnacentral:ncRNA from 1 species
UGAAAGGCGCAGAGGAAGAGGAGUAACGGCGUUUUCCGCGUACAGAGAGUGCCGGGUCGGUGUGACGGCAUGGCGGAACGGUGUGAAGGUCGCUUCGGAGCUGACGUGCGGGAUCCCACACGGACGGUUGCCCCGUUAUCGGCUGUCCCCCUAUGUUUUGGGGGAGUGAGUGACGCGCGGGAGAAAUCCCUUGCGUAAGAAGGGUGGUACCGCAGGUUUUUGCCUGUCUCUUUC